rnacentral:rRNA from 1 species
UACAGAGGGUGCGAGCGUUAAUCGGAAUUACUGGGCGUAAAGCGCGCGUAGGCGGCUUUGCAAGUCGGGUGUGAAAUCCCCAGGCUCAACCUGGGAACUGCAUUCGAGACUGCAUUGCUAGAGUAUGGGAGAGGGAAGUGGAAUUUCCGGUGUAGCGGUGAAAUGCGUAGAUAUCGGAAGGAACAUCAGUGGCGAAGGCGACUACCUGGCCUGUUCUUGACGCUGAGGCGCGAAAGCUAGGGGAGCAAACGGG